rnacentral:rRNA from 1 species
GGUGAAUGCUGGCGGCGUGGAUAAGUCAUGCAAGUCAAGGGGGCCCGCAAGGGCAACCGGCAAACGAGGUAGUAACACGUAGGUAGACCCCCCCAGAGUCGGGCAUAGCCAGCCGAAAGGUUGGGUAAUUCCCGAUAGUCCCGAAAGGGUAAAGGUUUUUUCGCUCUGGGAGUUGCCUGCGUAGUAUCAGCUAGUUGGUAGGGUAAUGGCCUACCAAGGCUACGACGCUUAGGGGAGCUGAGAGGCUGACCCCACCGAUGGAACUGCGACACGGGUCCAUACUCCUACGGGAGGCUGCAGACGAGAAUAUUCCGCAAUGGGCGAAAGCCUGACGGAGCGACGCCGCGUGAUUGAUG